rnacentral:rRNA from 1 species
UACGUAGGGUGCAAGCGUUAAUCGGAAUUACUGGGCGUAAAGCGUGCGCAGGCGGUGUUGUAAGUCAGGUGUGAAAUCCCCGGGCUUAACCUGGGAACUGCAUUUGUGACUGCAUCGCUGGAGUACGGCAGAGGGGGAUGGAAUUCCGCGUGUAGCAGUGAAAUGCGUAGAUAUGCGGAGGAACACCGAUGGCGAAGGCAAUCCCCUGGGCCUGUACUGACGCUCAUGCACGAAAGCGUGGGGAGCAAACAGG